CUAGAUCCCACAAACUGCAAGAUCACGACCUGAGCUGAAACCAAGAGUCAGUCGCUCCACCGACUGAUCCAGCCAGGCACCGCCUCUACCUUCUUUAUGUUUUCCUCCUGAUGUGUCUCCUUUCUCUUCCCCCCUGCCCUCCUCACAAGGCUCAGCCCUCAUCCCUGUCUCUCGACUGGCUUCCCCUCCCGCCAGCCACAAAUACUCUCUUCCUUACAACUUUGAGCUCUCUCCCCUCACAUUGGUCUGCCCAUCUGCCACCCCCUCUAGCCGGGGUUUGUCCCUCUUUCGUCCCCACCCACGGAGUGUCAGUCCCCAGUGGCCUGACUUAGACCUCUCAUGUUUCCAUUCUCAUCACACGCAAUCUGGAAACUCACCCUCAGAGCAGAAGGAGGGCUCUGGGGUGCAGCCCCCAGGACAUCUUUGUUUCACACCCCUUUCUCUUCCUCUAACGAAGCAGUGACAGGCUUCUCUGGUCCCUUAUUUGAGAGAAAGACAGAAUGACAAGAAGCUAUUGCAUGGGAUGGGCGUGGAGGGCACAGGGAAUGUUUUGCUCUCUCAGUGGUUACAGAGCCCCAUAUCUACAGAGAAUGAGGGAAGUACCAGUUAUGUUAUCAGGAGAAGGGCUUAUUCAGGACCUCUCAUAGAACUCUGUGUUUUUGGAAUGGCUAUAGUCACUUACAGAUAGAAAAUCUGAGGAUCAGAGAGGUUAAGUGGUUUGCCCACAGUCACACAGCAGUGGAGCCAGCGAUGGAGCCUGGCCUCAUGUCAAAGCCCUUGUUCAUUCUAUUGUACAGAGGGUUGCCAUGGACUGCUUUUUCCUGUCUUAACCAUCUGAGAAGGUCUCUCCCCAUCAUCUAGCACCUCAGCAUUUGUUUCUCUCUCUACUAAUUUGCAUCUCAUUUCCUCUAGAAAAGUUUAUGGUGUACUCCUCUUCGCUUCCCCGCCUGUCCCGGCCCGCACACUUCUCUGCCCACGUCUUGGUGACGUCACCAGCACCGCGGGAAAAUUCCAGAGAACCUCCCCACUCUGUGGAGCUUCGGGAUUCAAGCUGUCUGGAGUCAGGGCCAAAGUUUCCUACCCUUGUGAGAUGCUUGUAGAAACCUGCACUCGUGACCUCAGGGUCUGCUUCAAGGCUGCUGUGAUGAUUGAAACGGCGUGUGUGACUUUAGAGAGUGCUGUGUAAACCUGGCAUGCGACGAGCAUGGUGAGCGGAACAUGAGUCUCUCCUACCACCCCUGGGGUGCAACUCCUUCCCGACUUCAACUGUUGUUUGCAAAGCUGGGAUCUCGUCCUUGCGAGCCUGGAGAGUGGAAACAUCUCAUCAUGGUGGUAAGAGUUCCUCUUUGACCUCCAAAAAUAAUGAAAAAAAAAAUGUAAAUAACAAACUGAAGCAGAUUGAACCAACAAACAUGAAAAGAUGCUCAAUGCCACUCAUCAUCAGGGAAACGCAAAUUAAAAACUCCAGUGAAAUGUCACCUCACACCCAUUAGGAUGGUUACUAUCUCAAACGCCGGUAAGUGUCUGGAGACGCUCUAAUCCUUGUGCCCUGGGGGUGGGAAGGUGAAAAGGUAUAGCCAUUAUGGAAAACAGUAUGGUGGUUCCUCCAGAAAUUCAAAAUGGAAUUGCCACCUGAGCUAGCAAUCCCACUCGUGCGUGUCUAGACCAAAGAAUCGAAAGCAGAAUUUUGAAGAGAUAUUUGCGCACCCACGUUCAUAGCGGCAUCAUUUACAAGAGCUAAAAGGUGGAAGCAACACACAUUUUCAUGGACAAAUAAAUGAAGGCGCACAAUGUAGCAUCAUUCCGUCCUCAAAAGAAAGGAAAGCUGACGCAUGCUACAACAUGAAUGAACCUGGAGGACAUCAUGCUAAGCGAAAUAAGCUAGUCACAGGAAGACAAGCACUGUAAUAUUCCACCUAGGUGAGGUAUCUAGACUCGUCAAAUUCAUAGAAACAGAAAGGACAAUGGUGGUUGGUAGGGUAGGAGAGAAACGGGGGGUUGUUCAGUGGGUAAGAAUUUAAGUUUUGCAAGAAAGAAAACUUCUAGAGAUCGGUUGCAUGCCAACGUGUACGCGUUUAAUGCCCCUGUACCACAUAUACUUAGAAAUGGUUGAGUUGGCAAAAUUUGUGUUAUGCAUUUUUUUUACCACAAUAAAAUUUUUCUAU